rnacentral:rRNA from 1 species
GUCGAGGGGCAGCAUAUGGAUUGCUUGCAAUCCAUGAUGGCGACCGGCGCACGGGUGCGUAACGCGUAUGUAACUUGCCUUAUGCAGGAGGAUAACCCGAAGAAAUUCGGCCUAAUACUCCAUAAGUGUCAGAGAGGCAUCUUUCGGGCAUGAAAGAUUUAUCGGCAUAAGAUAGACAUGCGUGACAUUAGCUAGUCGGUGAGGUAACGGCUCACCGAGGCGACGAUGUCUAGGGGUUCUGAGAGGAAGGUCCCCCACACUGGUACUGAGACACGGACCAGACUCCUACGGGAGGCAGCAGUGAGGAAUAUUGGUCAAUGGACGGAAGUCUGAACCAGCCAUGCCGCGUGCAGGAUGACGGCUCUAUGAGUUGUAAACUGCUUUUGUACGAGAAUAAUAGUUCUUACGUGUAGGGAUUUGAAUGUAUCGUACGAAUAAGGAUCGGCUAACUCCGUGCCAGCAGCCGCGGUAAUACGGAGGAUUCGAGCGUUAUCCGGAUUUAUUGGGUUUAAAGGGUGCGUAGGCUGUCGGAUAAGUUAGAGGUCAAAUGUCGGGGCUUAACCCCGUGCCUGCCUCUGAUACUGUUCGACUGGAGAGCGGAUGCAGCAGGCGGAAUGAGUAGUGUAGCGGUGAAAUGCUUAGAUAUUACUCAGAACACCGAUUGCGCAGGCAGCUUGCUAAUCCGCAUCUGACGCUGAUGCACGAAAGCGUGGGUAGCGAACAGGAUUAGAUACCCUGGUAGUCCACGCAGUAAACGAUGAUAACUCGUUGUCGGCGAUAUACAGUCGGUGACCCAGCGAAAGCGAUAAGUUAUCCACCUGGGGAGUAC